rnacentral:siRNA from 1 species
GACGCGUAUAAUGUGGCCUCGUCA